rnacentral:rRNA from 1 species
GUUCUGUCUUCGGCCGAGGGGGGAUUCUGCCUACACGGUAUGAGUCUCGUUCCCUUUGGGUGUGCGGUGUCAAAGCCGUGCACUCUUAACGGUCGGACAAGUCCGUCGGAGUGUGGUUAUUGUUGGAAGGGCAACCGACCAAUGAGGCCACCGUAAUCGUUCGGGGUGCCUUUAAUCGGGUGUCUCGGGCGGCCGACAUAGUUUACUUUGAACAAAUUAGAGUGCUCAAAGCAGGUGACUACCGCCUGAAUAGUACAGCAUGGAAUGAUGAAAGAGGACCUCGGUCUGAUUUUGCUGGUCUUUAACGGUCGGGCUUCGGCCCGGCCUAUGCAGACCCGAGGUAAUGGUCAAUAGAGACGGACGGGGGCAUCCGUACUGCGGCGACAGAGGUGAAAUUCUUGGACCGCCGCAAGACGAACGACAGCGAAGGCAUUUGCCAAGAAUGUUUUCCUUGAUCAAGAACGAAAGUUAGAGGUUCGAAGGCGAUCAGAUACCGCCCUAGUUCUAACCAUAAACGAUGCCAACUAGCGAUCCGCCGGUGUUACUCCCAUGACUCGGCGGGCAGCUUCCGGGAAACCAAAGUCUUUGGGUUCCGGGGGAAGUAUGGUUGCAAAGCUGAAACUUAAAGGAAUUGACGGAAGGGCACCACCAGGAGUGGAGCCUGCGGCUUAAUUUGACACAACACGGGAAACCUCACCAGGCCCGGACACUGGAAGGAUUGACAGAUUGAGAGCUCUUUCUUGAUUCGGUGGGUGGUGGUGCAUGGCCGUUCUUAGUUGGUGGAGCGAUUUGUCUGGUUAAUUCCGAUAACGAACGAGACUCUAGCCUGCUAAAUAGGUGCCGGGUUUUUACAUCUCCUCGCAAGGGGAGAGUGGAGCGUGUGGUUGUCGGGAUCCUGGGCUGUGGUGGUCGUUUAGGCUGCGGGGGGCAACUCUCGUGGUCUGGGCGGCUGUCAUAGUUCACCCGGUGUACGCACACUUCGCGUCCGGCAUUUUUCUUCUUAGAGGGACAAGCGGCGUCCAGCCGCGUGACAGUGAGCAAUAACAGGUCUGUGAUGCCCUUAGAUGUCCUGGGCCGCACGCGCGCUACACUGAAGGAAUCAGCGUGCUAUUCAUCCCUGUCUGAAAAGACCGGGCAACCGAUGAACCUCCUUCGUGGUUGGGAUUGGGGACUGCAAUGAUCCCCAUGAACCAGGAAUCCCUAGUAGGCGCGGGUCACUAGCCCGCGUCGAUUACGUCCCUGCCCUUUGUACACACCGCCCGUCGCUACUACCGAUUGAAUGAUUUAGUGAGAACUUCAGACGGCUAUGUUUGUCCGGGGUAACCCGCGUCGAGCAGGGCUGAAAGAUGUUCAAACUUGAUCCUUUAGAGGAAGUAAAAGUCGUAACAAGGUU